rnacentral:lncRNA from 1 species
CCAGAAACAGAGCCUUGGAGGACGAGAGGAUCGUGAGGUCUCCGGACCCAGCCCCGAAAGCCGGAGGUCCCUUCCCCUUUGGCGGAGCGGAGCUUGGUAUCUAGGUUGCCUCCAACUUCCUGCUGCUACAAAUAACACUGCGCUGAACGUCCUUGUUCAUGGCUAGUCGUGGACCUGCGAGAGAGCGUCUCUGAGGCUGCUGGGUCAUAGGGCACGUACAUGCUCAUUGACCAGAAUUUCCAGGGCCAGCCCGGUGGCGCAGCAGUUAAGUGCACCUGUUCCGCUUCAGCGGCCCAGGGUUCUCUGGUUCAGAUCCUGGGUAUGGACAUGGCACUGCUUGACAAACCAUGCUGUGGUAGGCGUCCCACAUAUUAAAAAAAAAAAAAAGUAGAGGAAGAUGGGCACGGAUGUUAGCUCAGAGCCAGCCUUCCUCAGCAAAAAGAGGAGGAUUGGCAGCAGAUGUUAGCUCAGGGCUAAUCUUCCUCAAAAAAAAAAGUGUUAAACUUUUUUCUCCAGAAUGGUCUUAUACAUUCACUGUUAGGUUGAUUUCUAGAUUCUUUAUAGUUUGUCCUGUUAUUGUAGCUCAAGUCUCAUAUUUUUUUUUGCUUAUUGUUGAUAUAGAUGCAUUUCUUUUUCUCUCUUUCUUAGACCUAUAUGAAUCAGAUUAAUCAUAAUCCCCAGUUCAUGACAUAUUCUCAUUUUGGUCCCUGUAUAGUCUGCUUUUUUUUAGUUUAUUAGUUAGUUAAUUAUUUUUAAUAAAGCAAUAAGAACCUAUAAUACCUCCCCCCAAAACAAAAGCUAGAACUUGACAAUACACCACAUCUUAACACGAUUUCCCCAGUUUAUUCCGUCUGUCUCCACCCGAGGCAGCUAGAAUCCUGAAUCUCAUGUCCGUUGUUUUGUCGCUUUCCUUUACAGAUUGCUUUACUCCAUCUUUAGGUAUUCCUUCAAAGUGUAUACAUUACCUGUAUACAACCCUCCUUGACUUAUGACGGGGUUACAUCCUGAUAAACCCAUCAUAAGUUGAAAAUACUGAAAGUUGAAAAUGCAUUGAAGGGGCCGGCCUGGUGGUGCAGCGGUUAAGUUCGCACGUUCCACUUCUUGGCGGCCUGGGGUUCACCGGUUUGGAUCCCGGGUGCGGACAUGGCACCACUUGGCAAAAGCCAUGCUGUGGUAGGCAUCCCACAUAUAAAGUAGAGGAAGAUGGGCACGGAUGUUGGCUCAGGGCCAGUCUUCCUCAGCAAAAAGAGGAGGAUUGGCAGUAGUUAGCUCAGGGCUAAUCUUCCACACACACACACACAAAAGCAUUUAAUACACCUAACCUACCAAACAUCAUAGCUUAGCCUAGCCUGUCUUAAAUGUGCUCAAAACACUUGCUUACGGUUGGGCAAAAUCAUCUAACACAAAGCCUAUUUUAUAAUAAAGUGUUGAAUAGCUCAUGUAAUUUAUUGAAUACUCACUGAAAGUGAAAAACAGAAUGGUUGGAGGGGUGCAGAUGGUUGUAAGUGUAUCUGUUGCUUACCCUCGUAAUCACGGGGCUGCCUAGGAGCUGCGGCUGCCGCUGCCCAGCGUCACGCGAGAGGAUCAGACUGCAUAUCGCCAGCCCAAGAAAACGUCAAAAUUCAAAAUACGAAGUAUGGUUUCUACUAAAUGCGUAUUGCUUUUGCACCAUCGUUAAGUUGAAAAAUGGUAAGUCAAACCAUCGUCAGGGGCCCUCUCUCUCUCUCCCUCUGUAAUUUGAGUUAUUUUAUUUAAAAGAUUACAAUGCCUUGUGUAGUCUUUUGCUGUCUGCUUUUAUCACUGAAUACCAUAUCGCUAAGAUUCAUUCACAUUGCCGUGUGUUGCUGUAGUCCAUUCCUCUUGGCUGCUUUGUAAUACUCCAUUGUGUGAAUAUACCACAGUUAUCACCUGCCCUAUUGGUGGAUAUUUGAGUUGUUCCCCAGUUUCUGCUACUAUGAAUUGUGCUGCUGUGAACACUCUUGCAAGACUGUCUAUGCAAUCGUGUAUAUUCGUUGAGCAUAUACCUAGGAGUGGAAUUGCUGAGUCAAAAAUCAUUUAAUUAUACAAUUUUAGGAGAUAAUGCAAAACUGUUUUCCAAAUUGUUUGUGCCACUUAUACUCCAACCAGUAAUGUAAAAGAGAUCCUGUGGGGCUAUAUCUUCUUGCACACUUGCAUGGUCAGACUUUUUAGUUUUACCAAUUAGAAGGCUGUAGAGUGGUAUCUCGUCAUGGUCUUGAUUUGCAUUUCCUUAAUAACUGAUAGUGCUGGAUCUCUUCAUGUGUUGUGGGCUAUAUGUAAUAGGCCCUCUUGAGUUCUAGCAGGGCACAGGCUACCCAGCUAGAGAGUACAUUUUCCAGCCAUCUUUGAAGUAAGUAUGACCAUGUGACUAAGCUCUGGCCUGAACUAACUCCAAGUAAGUGCAGGGGGUGUGUUCAGUUUCCAGGAGUAUCCUUAAUUAGGCAGGAGUGUGCACUUCUCAUCUUCCACUAUCUUUCCUGCUGGCUGCAGAAGUUAUGUCUGGCGCUAGAGCAGUCAUCUUGGACCAUGAGGUAGAAGCCAUGCACUGAAGAUGAAGAAACCACAGAGAAGGCACCUGGUUUAUUUGUCUAUACCCAGGCUAAAAGGACACUAUCCUAAUUACUGUCGCUUUAAAAUAAACCACGAUAGCUGCUAGGGCAAGAGUGUGCACUUCUCAUCUUCCACCAUCUUUCCUGCUGGCUGCAGAAGUUAUGUCUGGCGCUAGAGCAGUCAUCUUGGACCAUGAGGUAGAAGCCAUGCACUGAAGAUGAAGAAACCACAGAGAAGGCACCUGGUUUAUUUGUCUAUACCCAGGCUAAAAGGACACUAUCCUAAUUACUGUUGCUUUAAAAUAAACCACGAUAGCUGCUAGGGCAAGUAUUCCCAUUUUAUUUUCCUCCUUUAACAGUGUCUGGGCUACUCUUGGUCCUUUGAACUACUGGAAUUUUAAAUCUGUCAACUGUGGUAAAGUGAAGAUGGUCAUAAAUUCUCUGACACUCCUCCUAUUGAGAGGUGGUCUAUUUGCCUUUCCCUUGAAUCUGGCUGGUCUUAGUGACUUAUGGUGGAAGCGGUGCUGUGUGACUUCUGAAACUGGGUCAGAAGAUGCCUUUCAGCUUCCACCUUGGUCUCUUGGAAAGCUCACUCUCCAGACACUCUCUCAAAUGACUCCCUCUCGGGUUACUCCCUCACCAUCCUGUGAGAUGUCCAGGUCACAUAGACAGGCCAUUUGUAGACGCUAUAAUUGACAGCUCCAGCUGUGUUUCUAGCCUCCAGCCAGAUUCAACAGCAUCAUGUGAGGGCGCCAUCUUAGACAGCCAGCCUUCAGAUGACUCCAGUCCUGUAGUCAACACCUGUCUGCAACCACAUUAGACGCUCUAAGAAAGGAUUAUCCAGCUGACCCCUUCCUGGAUUCCUAACCCACAAAAUUGUGAGCAAAAUAAAAUGAUUUUUAAGCCACUAAGUUUGGGGGUAGUUUGUUAUGCAGCAAUAGAUAACCAGAUUAUCAAAUUCUACUAAAAAAAAAGUGUUGAGAUUUGAUCAAGAUGCCAUUGAAUCUGUAGAUCGAGUUGAAGAAAACUGACACCUUUAUAAUAUUGAAUCUUUGAAUCCUUAACAUGGUAUAUCUUCUGUUUAUUUAGAUGUUCUUUAAUGCCUCUCUGUUUUAUAAUUUUCUCCCGAAAAGUCUGUGCUCGAGGCUUAUUGUGC